AACAAUCAUCACCAUUUCCUGAAUCGACUGCACUUUAAUCUUCAUUAACUGCUCAGCUCAAGACCCCUUCAAAUGCUCUGAGUUACUUCUCUUGAUUUCUUUCUAUCUAUUUCGGAGUAACAACAGCAGCAGCCGCUGCUUUUUCUCCUUCUCACUUUCAGGGCAGUGUAAUAACAAUGAUUGAAUGAGAGAAAGAAAACUCUCGAAUUUAGGGUUGUGUAGUCUAGUGGAUAUUUCCACCCUAGUGAGGUAGAUAAGGGCCAACCAAUAAUUUCCCUAGAUAUCUGCUCAUUAUAAAAGGGCCACCAAAGGGCCACCAAGGUCUGAUCCUUGCUUUUCUGGACUAAGAUGCAUUAGUUGUCCCUCAUCGUUCGCUUGGUUCGACUCAGUUCCGUUUCCAAUAGUAGUUGUACAGGAAAUGACGCUUUGGCCUUUCUUGUCUAUUCCUUCUUCGAAUCCUUCCACCAACAACCGUCUCUUACUUCUCAAAUCCACUUCUUCUCUUCAAUUUCUUAUCAACACUAAAGUCGUCAUGCUUUUCAGGCAAUAUUUGCAUCACUAAAGCCGACAUGGUUUUCAGAUAGAGAUGAAGAAAUAAAAGCAAAUAGUGAGAAAUAAUCUGCCUUGCCCUUUUAAGCGUCGUUUCUUCUUCUUUUGUUCCAAAUGACUCCAAAGUACUUAAACACUCAAAAGCUAACAUAAGAUACAUAAUUUACAAGAAAACUAAGCAAAGAAAGCAUAAACAAUAUAUAAAUAUUAAGGUGUUUUAGAUACCAAUCAGCGGGACGCAAUCUUUUUUUAGGAGGUACUGGUGUGACACUCGUAAAAUUUUUGGUUGGGCUUUGAGCCCGCGCCCGAGCCCAAACAUUCUGCUAGAAUUAUGCAAUGGGACUAUGGGAGGGUACAAUCCCAAUGUUGGGCACUUGUAACCGUUUAGAUUGGAGAGUGCCCUAAACCCAGUAUAGAUGUAUCAGCUAAAACAGGUUAUCCCUUAAUAGCACUGGGGUGCGCAGUUAGUAGAUAAUAUAGAAAAGUCUUGAAGACUUGAGCGUGGUUGACAUGCGGCAUACAUGAGCAGCGAUGGUACUUUUGUUUUCUUUGUUUUAAAACCAACUCUAAAUACGGAAUUUUCUAUGUUCCUUUACAUUUCCCCCUUUCCUAGCAAGCUUCAACCACUAAUUUUCAAGGCAAACCCGAGCAAAAGAAGGGUUUUUGAUUUCAAGUAUAGAUGCUACAGCUCAAUCUACUCUUGGUCGAUUUUACCUUGUUCAAAGGUAGGGGUUUCUUUCCUUUUGAUUUUAAACUAUGGGUUCUCUCUCAAUUUUAUUGAUGUUCAUGUUUACAGAUUUAAAUUUUCUAAACUUGCACCACACUGGUUUAACUAUUUCAUUUCAUUUAAAUUGGGUUUUAAAUGUUUUGCUCAUAAUUUUUCUUGCCAAUUACCCAAUGGCUUUUGCACCACACUAAAUUGGGUUUGAAACUUUAAACUUUUUCGUGUUUAAUCCUGGCAUGUUGAACUGUCGAUAAAUUUCGAAAUUGGUAGUUGGUUUUAUCGAGAUUUAAGUCUAUGCAACUAUCCAAGUUCUGUUUUUCCCAUCCCAAAGAGAGUUUUGAACUGAUCUUUUUAACUAGCCCACUACUUGUUUGAUAAAAUGACUCAAUGAGUGAGUAUUUGGAAUUUUACUGAUAACUAAAAUGGAUUGAAAUUAUCUUAUGGGUCUUCCUUAUUUUGUCCUUCUCACUGCCCAGCAACUUAAUCAUUCCAACUAACGUUUUUGUUUACAAUACCAGCUUGAUUUCUUGGUGCUCCCGUUUGCACACUUGAUUUUAAACAUAUGUGACCUUAUAGAUUAAGCACAUCUUUUUAAAUUUUUGUUUUGUGUAUCAUGAUUAGUUAUAUCAAUCACCCUUGUUCUUGAAUGUGGUGUUUUUGGUCAAGCUUUAUGAAAUGAUCUACUAUAUACUUCCAGCUUAUUUGAAUGAUUUAUAUUCUUAUAUGAAAAUUAUAUUUGCGAUAUGGUUGUCGUGGAUUUUUUCCAUUUUAUGAACAAGCAUGAAAUGAAAUUAGAUGACUCUACUAUAGGAAGGCCAGGCCUUAAGUGGCACCCCAUCUACAGAUGGCAACCUGGAAGACCGUUUGUUUGAUAAUGGUGGGUGGUAUCGGAUUACCCUGACGACGGCAUUCAUCGAAGAAAUAGUAGAUAAAAAGCGAGGUUGAGGUAGUAAGCUUGGGAAGAGCUUAUGGCUGGUAGUUUGAGCAAAAGUUGGUAUUUUUGCUUGCAUUUUUAAUGUGUAUAUCACGGGACUAGCUGGUGUGGUUUCAGUUCUUUAAAUGCUGUUUAAAUAUGUUAACUGUUGCAUUAUGAAAAUCGAAUAUGAUCUCUUAGAUAAUUCUGUAGGUUUAAUCAUUGUACUUGACCCAUUUGGUUCAAAACUGUUGUGCACAGUUCUCUUAAGUUUUAAGAUAAGUAACAUUUAUUAUUCAUUUCCA